rnacentral:rRNA from 1 species
CCUGGUUGAUCCUGCCAGUAGUCAUAUGCUUGUCUCAAAGAUUAAGCCAUGCAUGUCUAAGUAUAAGCGUUAUACUGUGAAACUGCGAAUGGCUCAUUAAAUCAGCAAUAGUUUCUUUGGUGGUGUUUUACUACAUGGAUGACCGUAGUAAUUCUAGAGCUAAUACAUGCGUAAAUCCCGACUUCGGAAGGGACGUAUUUAUUAGAUAAAGACCGACCUCGUUCUGCGGUGAAUCAUGAUAACUUCACGGAUCGCAUGGCUUUACGCCGGCGAUGUUCCAUUCAAAUUUCUGCCCUAUCAACUUUCGACGGUAGGAUAGAGGCCUACCGUGGUGUUCACGGGUGACGGAGAAUUAGGGUUCGAUUCCGGAGAGGGAGCCUGAGAAACGGCUACCACAUCCAAGGAAGGCAGCAGGCGCGCAAAUUACCCAAUCCUGACACAGGGAGGUAGUGACAAUAAAUAACAAUGCCGGGCUUUUUAAAGUCUGGCAAUUGGAAUGAGAACAAUUUAAAUCCCUUAUCGAGUAUCAAUUGGAGGGCAAGUCUGGUGCCAGCAGCCGCGGUAAUUCCAGCUCCAAUAGCGUAUAUUAAAGUUGUUGCAGUUAAAAAGCUCGUAGUUGGAUUUCGGUUGAGAGCGGCCGGUCCGCCGUUUGGUGUGCACUGGCUGGUUUCAACUUCCUGCGGAGGAUGCGCUCUGGGCUUAACGGUCUGGACGUGGAGUCCGCGUGGUUACUUUGAAAAAAUUAGAGUGUUCAAAGCGGGCUUACGCUUGAAUAUUUCAGCAUGGAAUAACACUAUAGGACUCCUGUCCUAUUUCGUUGGUCUCGGGACGGGAGUAAUGAUUAAGAGGAACAGUUGGGGGCAUUCGUAUUUCAUUGUCAGAGGUGAAAUUCUUGGAUUUAUGAAAGACGAACUUCUGCGAAAGCAUUUGCCAAGGAUGUUUUCAUUAAUCAAGAACGAAAGUUGGGGGCUCGAAGAUGAUUAGAUACCAUCCUCGUCUCAACCAUAAACGAUGCCGACUAGGGCUUGGCGGUUGUUAAUUGAUGACUCCGCCAGCACCUUAUGAGAAAUCAAAGUUCUUGGGUUCCGGGGGGAGUAUGGUCGCAAGGCUGACACUUAACGGAAUUGACGGCAGGGC